GAUAACUACCAUGCCACCUUGAACAUCUCUGUUGUCAUCUAAUUCCAGAAGUUAAGCAGAGUCAGGUCAGUACUUGGAUGGGAGAGUACCAGGCUGUAUUUGGUG
rnacentral:rRNA from 1 species